rnacentral:lncRNA from 1 species
AUGGCGACCCCGGGGGCGGAAGUGGAGCGGCGCAGGCUGCGGCGGAAGUUAGGCCGCGUUGCCACGGCGACCCCGAGGGCGGAAGUGGAGCCGCGCAGGCUGAGGCGGAAGUUAGGCCGCGUUGCCAUGGCGAUGAGCGGGGCCGUUCGGGGGUGGGAGCGCGGGGCUCGGUGGCCGGUAGCAGGCCGCUGGAGCCCGACGCGGAGCUCAAGAUGGACCCCGAGGCGCUCGUCCAGUGUCCCUACGACAAGGCGCACCAGAUCCGGGUGUCCCGGCUGCCUUACCACCUCGUCAAGUGCCAGCGGAACAACCCGCAGGUGGCUCGCUCGAUGGAGAUCUGUCCUUUCAACGCCAGGCACAGGAUCCCACGAGCCGAGCUGCAGAGACACAUUGCCUGCUGCCCCGACCAGCGCCUGCUCUUCGACUCUCGGGGGUCGUCCAUGUGCACCGGUGACCAGGCAAAGCAACCCAAGGUCCCCGUGGCCUGGCAGGCCCCCCCGUGCCAAGAGGACUGGGAGGCAGAGGUCAGUGAGCUGGAGGAAGCUGCACCGUUUAUCCUCGACACCACUGUCAGUGAGCUGCCCCUCCAAGGAGACAGCACUGCUCUGA